CGCGCGGCGGGAGCCUGAGGCCGCCUGUUAACAACAGAUUUUUAAGUCUUGAGUCAUAUUAUAAUGAAACCCGUUUAUUAUUAAAAAUAGCGUUUUAGGUACCUCGCUUACUCUCGAUUGCUUCAGAGAAAAUAUUUUGUUGUAGAAAAGACAGGAAUUGGUUUCACCUUUUCCCCCCGUUUUUUAGUCUGUUUUACUUCCUGGUUCUCUUGUCUCAAAGCAGGCGAGUCAGAGAUGAAAAUGGAUUAUUACAGUGUAUUUCUACCAGUCUUCAAUUUUAGUUUCAUUAGUAUUUUUAUUUUUAAAAUUAUUUUUAUUUUAUUUAUUUGUUUCUGGGGGUCUUUGAGGCUAUAUUAAUACUGUUUUUAAUUAUGCCUGUAGUGCUUAUUUGACCAGACAGUGCCCUUGCUCAAGCUCGCAUUGCACGGAGAGUGUGUGCUUGUCAUCCGAGAUGUGUGUAAAACACCCGGGGAGUUCCUGCAAGGAGAAAUGGACGUCUGGGCUGCUGAAUACUGAAUCCUGCAGUUAUCUUAGCUGCAAAAUUUGCAUUGAAGCAUUUUUGGAACAGUGAGCUCCGCUAACAGCUGUAUUCAAUCUUGAGUAAAAUCACUUCCUGAAAAAAGUGAAAUUAAACUUAAUAUACAAGCUUGCUUGGAAUAUAAUACCAUGGAGUUAGGGAACUUUGUGAUUAUGAAACCAAAUCCAUUCACCCUGCUGAGCUCCUCGCAUGUAUGGUUUUCUUCAGAAACGUGUGUGGUUUCUCUUCCCUUCCCCAUUACUCAAGGCACGAGUAACCUGAGGGCCUACCUUGGAGGAGGAAAUUCCAGGAGGGGGAAGGCCACCUACUAUGUGCUACAAUAGCCAAGUGACUGACAAACUGCCAUUUAAAUUCUCAUACUGUCAGCUUUAAAGAGAAACCCUCCUGUCGGCAGAGUUUUGCUUUAAAAUCAAAUUUCACUUCCUGAUUUUCCAGGAGACAACAGGAAAAAGGCUAAUCUGAAAUACUGUAAAAUACUCCAAAUUCUAAGGAAAAUAAAAUUUUGUGUAAGCACUGA